ensembl:lncRNA
ACUUGUAAUAUGCAGGAUGCAGGAUGAAUGGAGAUGGUCUGUAGGAACUCAUUUCUGCCUUGAGAGAGCAGCUCGGAGACUGAUGAUGAUACUGUGUUUACCAGGGUACCUGCCUACUUUCACCUGGUUGGAGUUACCGUAGUGAGGAGUAAUACUUGCAUCAUCUGGAGUUUGUGGCCACGCACAGACAUCCCCUUCUGAAUCCAGCUGCACGAGUGGAAGGCAUUACUCUUUGUGUGAGGUAUGGUCAGCUGGGCUCACUCACAUCACCAGUGGAAACCGUGGGAGUUGAACCCAUCGAUUUUGUCUGAAACAGAUUAAGGAAUACUAAUACCAAUGGCUCUGCCAGCAAAACUACGGGGUGAGAACUCCAUCAGGCAGAAAGUGAAGAGCAUCAGGGAGGUACUGGGAAGAGGAAAUCUCUCCCCCUUCAGGGCUGGCCUUGGAGGAGGACGUCUGCCAAAAAAGGAAUGGCUCCAGAGAAGCAGAGUGGCUCAGUGGUGUCAGUGGCAGGAGCUGCCUCACUCUCCUCGUACAGACAGACUUGGAGCAGAACAGUCUUGUUCAUUCCCGGUCUGAGACAAUACCCAUUCAAAUAGAUGGAACUAAUCCCACUAACAAGGGCGUGCUGAACAGCCUUUGGCUGCUCCUCUAAGACUGCUGACAAGGGCCAGUAGUGACUGUGGGAUCUGUGGUUAAAGCUGAAAUCGUUUCCCUGAUUUCAUUGGGGAGAGAGGCAGCAAACCAGGUCCAGCUGGUGCUGGAAGCAGCUCUGGGCCCUGCAGAUUUGGUCAGGAGUUUCCCUCUGUUUCUCAGGGAAGCUGUUGUCCCCUGAAACCCACUGGGCUGGGGAGCCAGCCCCUAAUUGCCAGCACCUGACGUACACAAGGCUUCAUUUCUGACUUGGAGAUGAAACACAAUGCAAUUACCCAAUCUGGUUCAAAUUACAACUCAGUUUGGGCACAGUUUGCAAACUACAGUCCUCUUUGGGAAGGUAUUUGUUCAUGACAGCUAGAAAGGCUUAAAUAAAGUCCCAGCAAGUGCCUGUGCCAAUGCUGGAGUGAGGACAGCAUGGAGCGUGACUGUACCUCUUCCCAAAACCAU